rnacentral:sRNA from 2 species
AAACAACCUCGUUAGGUGAGGCUCCUGUACGGAGAUAUGCUGCUGCCCAAAAAUGUCCAAAGACGCCAAUGGGUGAACAGGAAUUAUCGAGCUAAGGUAAUUUUUAAUGUAGCUGGCAAUGGUCCUAUGCCGUACAGUGCUAAAGCUCUACGACGGAGACGUAUA